AGGUUUUUAAAAUCCGAUUGCGGUUCUAUUUCUUAUACGCAAUGAUACACAUGACAUCAAGUCAUAUUUGACUCCAAAACACUAACCAAGCUUCUUCUUGCUUCUCAAAGCUUUGAUGGUCUAGCCGUAGUCCGUUGAGUCUUUGGCUUUGUAUCUUCUAACAAGGAUACAAUACUUAGGCUUUUAAGAUCCGAUUGAAGUCCUAGUUGUUAUACUCACUCAUACACAUGACAUCUAGUCAUAUU
rnacentral:sRNA from 1 species